UGUGAGAGUGAUGAGUUGCACGCAUCUGCUGGGGUCUGCUGCAGUGGCAUCAGCACUCCAGGCUGAAGUAAUCUGAAGAGAUAAACGUUGCACAGGGGCCAUCUGACUCAAA
ensembl:snoRNA